GACGAACGCUGGCGGCGUGCUUAACACAUGCAAGUCGAACGGGUCUGCCCUGUUUUUUGCGGGGUGGGUCAGUGGCGAACGGGUGAGUAACACGUGAGUAACCUGCCCCUCACUUCUGGAUAACCGCUUGAAAGGGUGGCUAAUACGGGGUGUUCUGGCUGUGCCGCAUGGUGUGGCUGGGAAAGAUUCACUUUUGUGGUGGUUUGGUGGGGGAUGGGCUCGCGGCCUAUCAGCUUGUUGGUGGGGUGAUGGCCUGCCAAGGCUUUGACGGGUAGCCGGCCUGAGAGGGUGGGCGGUCACACUGGGACUGAGAUACGGCCCAGACUCCUGCGGGAGGCAGCAGGGGGGGGUAUUGCACAAUGGGCGGAAGCCUGAUGCAGCGACGUCGCGUGAGGGAUGGAGGCCUUCGGGUUGUGAACCUCUUUCGCCGGUGAAGAAGGUCCUGCUCUUUGUGGUGGGGUUGACGGUAGCCGGGUUAUGAAGCGCCGGCUAACUACGUG
rnacentral:rRNA from 1 species